GACGAACGCUGGCGGCGUGCUUAACACAUGCAAGUCGAACGGAAAGGCCCCUUUGGGGGUACUCGAGUGGCGAACGGGUGAGUAACACGUGAGUAACCUGCCCUUGACUUCGGGAUAACUUCAGGAAACUGGGGCUAAUACCGGAUAGGAAUCCUUGCUGCAUGGUGGGGGUUGGAAAGCUUCGGCGGUUUUGGAUGGACUCGCGGCUUAUCAGCUUGUUGGUGGGGUAGUGGCUUACCAAGGCUUUGACUGGUAGCCGGCCUGAGAGGGCGACCGGCCACAUUGGGACUGAGAUACGGCCCAGACUCCUACGGGAGGCAGCAGUGGGGAAUAUUGCACAAUGGGCGGAAGCCUGAUGCAGCAAGGCCGCGUGCGGGAUGACGGCCUUCGGGUUGUAAACCGCUUUCAGCAGGGGCGAAGCUUGUGGUGACGGUACCUGCAGAAGAAGCACCGGCUAACUACGUG
rnacentral:rRNA from 1 species